UUGAAUUUAAUGGGCUAAGGAGGUAAUAUUAUUUAAACAAGCCCAAUUAAUAUAUUAAGCAUAUGACUUUUAGAUAAAGUGACUAAGGGCGAAUAAAUUAUUUAAUCUUGCCCAAUAUGUUAUAUAUGUGACAAGUAUUAUAUUGACCCAAUUUAAUUAGGGUUGAAAGCUCAAGUUGGUUGUUGUUAGUAAGUAAAACAAGUAAAUUUGUUAGCUCAAUGGAAUUAAUUAAG
rnacentral:lncRNA from 1 species